rnacentral:rRNA from 1 species
GAUGAACGCUGGCGGCGUGCCUAAUACAUGCAAGUCGAGCGAAAAGACGAGGAGUUUGCGCCUCUGACGGUAGCGGCGGACGGGAGAGUAACACGUGGAUAACCUACCUAUAAGAAUGGGAUAACUACGGGAAAUCGGAGCUAAUACCGGAUAAUAUAUUGAACCGCAAGGUUCCAUAGUUGAAGACGGUAUUUGUGUCACUUAUAGAUGGAUACGCGCCGCAUUAGCUAGUUGGUAAGGUAACGGAUUACCAAGGCAAGGAUGCGUAGCCGACCUGAGAGGGUGAUCCGCCACACGGCAACUGGGACGCGCACCAGACUCCGACGGGAGGCAGCAGCAAGGAAUCUUCCGCAAGGGGCGAAAGCCUGACGUAGCCACGCGGCGUGAGUCAUGAAGAUCUUCGGCGCGUAAAUCUCUGUUAUUUUGGAAGAACAAAUGUGUUAUUAACGAUGCGCUUCUUGACGUUACCUGAGCAGAAACCCCCGGCUAACUACUU